GCAUUCGUGGUUCAGGGGUAGAAUUCCCGCCUACCAUGCGGGAGACCCGGGUUCAAAUCCCGGCCAGUGCA